UAAGUUUGAUUGAAAUGCUUGCAGAUCUGUGCGGUUUUCUGUUUGUUUUGGAGCGUUUAUCAUAUUAUGAGAGACGACAGCAACCGAGACUGUUGAGCAAUGAUCGAAGCAGUGGAAGGACUCUGUUCCAAAACAACUUGGUAACCAUCUCCCAUGUUAUCCAUUCAAGGCUCAACAGUUGCCAAAACAGCCCACCGGCACACGAUCCCCCGCCCCUGGCACUGCCGUAGAUGGCGUUGUAAAUCCUCUGGAAAUAGCUGUUUCUCUUCUCCAAGCUGUACCCUGGCUGCUUAAAAGACUU